rnacentral:rRNA from 1 species
UUAUACAGCGAAACUGCGAAUGGCUCAUUAUAUAAGUUAUCGUUUAUUUGAUAGUACCUUACUACUUGGAUAACCGUGGUAAUUCUAGAGCUAAUACAUGCUAAAAAUCCCGACUUCGGAAGGGAUGUAUUUAUUAGAUUAAAAACCAAUGCCCUCUGGGCUCCUUGGUGAUUCAUAAUAACUUUUCGAAUCGCAUGGCCUUGCGCCGGCGAUGGUUCAUUCAAAUUUCUUCCCUAUCAACUUUCGAUGUUUGGGUAUUGGCCAAACAUGGUCGCAACGGGUAACGGAGGGUUAGGGCUCGACCCCGGAGAAGGAGCCUGAGAAACGGCUACUACAUCCAAGGAAGGCAGCAGGCGCGCAAAUUACCCAAUCCCGAUUCGGGGAGGUAGUGACAAUAAAUACUGAUACAGGGCUCUUUUGGGUCUUGUAAUUGGAAUGAGUACAAUUUAAAUCUCUUAACGAGGAACAAUUGGAGGGCAAGUCUGGUGCCAGCAGCCGCGGUAAUUCCAGCUCCAAUAGCGUAUAUUAAAGUUGUUGUGGUUAAAAAGCUCGUAGUUGAACCUUGGGCCUGGCUGGCCGGUCCGCCUCACCGCGUGUACUGGUCCGGCCGGGCCUUUCCCUCUGUGGAACCCCAUGCCCUUCACUGGGUGUGGCGGGGAAACAGGACUUUUACUUUGAAAAAAUUAGAGUGCUCCAGGCAGGCCUAUGCUCGAAUACAUUAGCAUGGAAUAAUGAAAUAGGACGUGUGGUUCUAUUUUGUUGGUUUCUAGGACCGCCGUAAUGAUUAAUAGGGACAGUCGGGGGCAUCAGUAUUCAAUUGUCAGAGGUGAAAUUCUUGGAUUUAUUGAAGACUAACUACUGCGAAAGCAUUUGCCAAGGAUGUUUUCAUUAAUCAGGAACGAAAGUUAGGGGAUCGAAGACGAUCAGAUACCGUCGUAGUCUUAACCAUAAACUAUGCCGACUAGGGAUCGGACGAUGUUAUUUUUUGACGCGUUCGGCACCUUACGAGAAAUCAAAGUGC